rnacentral:tRNA from 2 species
ACUGUAGCUCAGUUGGUAGAGCGGCUGAUUCGUAAUCAGCAGGUCGCAGGUUCAAAUCCUGUCGGU